rnacentral:lncRNA from 1 species
UUUUUUACUCUAUUGUCAAUCAGUAAGCAAAUCUUACAUUGAUGAAUCUCCCAUGUCUAGGCAGCUCUUACAUGCUUAUCAAAUCCUGUAUGAACAGCAGCUUCAUAAUUAGUAAUCUAUGAAUACCUUAACUAACAAAAGAUGGGGAUAUACAUAGCCACAGUAGAACAAGUUGCUAAACACAAUAACACACUGUAAAAACAGCUUGGAAAAGCUAAGCCUUCCUGCACAGCUCCCUGCGAUGACAUGUUGCUUGCUUCUUGGGCAAGUGGCACACAGGCCCUGUCUAAAACCACCUACAGCCCAUGUUUCACACCAAUUCCUGACUGCCAGAGGACUGGCAAUUGAGCAGGGAGUGGAGUGGGGCGGGGAAGCAGUAAAAUGUGUACUGUAUCAAGGCCUUGGUCCCAUAAUAAACACCCUACAUUUGUCUACAGGGUAUUCUCUAACCUAGGAUUCGCCAAUAAUCCUUUUAUGUGCAAUGUCUCAAGCAAUACACAUAAUACAUGAUGUUACAUAACCUGUAAAAAAUGGUUUCCAAGGAUGUCUACGCAUGUUAUUGAAACCUUGCCACCAAGUUACAGUUGCCACACCAGAGCAUCCCUCAAAGGAAAUGAAUUUUAUCAAUCUUGUAUUACAGUUGCCACACCAUAGCAUCCCUCAAAGGAAACGAAUUCCUCAAUGUUGUCACAGUUCUAAAUAAUUCUAUUCUCCUUUAUUAAUGAAAAUGGGAUCGAAAACAAGACGUAAACUGUUAUUGUCUUCUCCCAGUGCCCCCAUAAUGCCGGUGUUCAUCUUCCAACACUCCUUCAUCCUCUCCAAAACCCUAAUAAAACCCUAAUUCUACCAUUUUUAUCAAGGAAAAAAAAACCUUGAACCGGAGCUCUUACACUAGGAAGUUGGAUUCAUUCAAAAUAGAGCACGUUAGAAGACAAAGUCUCGAACAAAAGACAAACCUUCGAGUCAUAGACCGAACUCGAAGAACACCAUAAAAUCCACCAAGAAAAGCAUGAGAGAUUAAAAUCGCAGGAGAAAUCGAAACAAAAAAUAGAUAACUAUCAAUGGCAAUCAAGCACUAAUCUUUAUCUAGAUUUGAUCUUACCGUCGUCCGACGACAGGGGGGUAUUUCGUACUCCAAUCGAUCUCGAUCCGACGAAACGAUGGCGGGAAUUUCUAUUUAGGGAACCCCUCUUCUUCUGUCCCGCUCUCGCCACAGUCCGGUUUAGUUCGGCUCCAUCUCUCGUUCGUCCGGUUCGUAGAAUCGUAUCAAUGCCGGUCUGAGCAAUAGAUCGGGGGGUCGGCCGGCGCGGCUGUGGGGCCUGAUCUCCUCCGUAAGACAAUGCCAGCCGUUGGAUCCUUCCGCUGGUCCCCUGGGGCGAUAUGGAAUUAUGCGGCGUUUCUAGGGUUAGGGUUUCUUCAACUCUUUUAUAAAUAGGGGUCGAAGGGGUGUUGGCCCUAUUCGUCUACGAUCUUGGCUAGGGUUUUGCGUGGCUUAGGGUUCCAUCAGCGGUGUUGAUGGCGGUCAAAAGGUGCCGCCAUACCUUCGCUGGAUCCCAUGGUAACACUUUGUUUUAUGGUAAUGCCUCUUGGAUCUUUUCUCCCCUUCCGUAAUGCGCGAAACUAAACCCUAAUGCACUGAAAGAGCGAAAUUUUCAAUUCUUGGUUUUUGAUUCUAGAAAAUUGUCGAUAUUUGAUCUUGUUUCACCUCGGAGGCAUUGGAUUUGUAGAGGAACUAAUAUCUAAUUUUUGGAUUUGAGAGGUUUUUGGGUUUUAAUUUUAGUGGAAAUCUCGCACGUUGCACCCCGGGCUUUUCUGAGAAUUUCCAUGACGAUGGAAGCCCCAUUGCUCGUGCUAGAUUUAUUCGCCGUUCUGUGUUGCAGAUCUGUUCACGAAUUCCAACGACUGAUCUGUGUCAAAGUAACGGCUAGACUUCAAUUUUUUUAAUCAUGUUUUCUUCUAUCUAUUUGUCAUCUUUUGCCUUUCCACACCUUUAGCUUUUGAGAUUUGUUGCCCAAACAAGGCGGGUUCAACGUAGGGGCUCACUCUUCUUCCAUGGUAUUGCCUCUAAAAUCUCUCGCCAAAAAAUAUGCCUCCUAACAGCUUUGAAAUCUGGGUGAUUGUUUUCAUCAAAAUCAUAUUUUUGGGACAUGAAGAGAUUAAAAUUGAAGUUUUCUGUGGAUUUUUAAUUGUUCUCUGUAGUUUUGCUUAAUAUCAAAGUGUAUUAGUAAUAAAAUGUUAUCCUCUUAGGAUACAAGCAAAACAAUUCAGAUUGAAUCUAUUUUUCCUAUUGAAUGUUGUAUUGUUAAUUACUUAUUCUUUUGUUGGCGAUGAUUAUAAUCUACCCGCGCUUCUGAUAAUUAUACAUGAAGCAUAUGGUUAGAAAAAAUGGUUGAAUUUCUUGAUAUGAGCCAAUAUUAGAAAUUAAUAGUCCUAACAUUUAGGGCUUGUUUAUCCUUCUUUUAUAUUUAGUUUUGAAAUGCUUGCAUGAUUAGAUGUUUUCCUGUUCCUCUUAUGAUGGAUUCAGUGAGAUAUUUGGCUGUGAUGAGAAUCUAUUCAGCUUCAACAUGCCAGUUCUGCUUCAGAAAAUUCAUGAUAGAGGAAGCUGAUGAAAACUGAGCCUUCCUAUGUGCACAAGUGAACACUGAAUUUUCUAUUUUUAUCUAUAUUUCAUCGAUCUUUUUCUCUUCUUUGUUUGAAUUUAUUUUGACAGUGUCUGACAACUAACACGGUUGUUUCUUUCUUUUCUGCCUGUGAUGAUAUCUCCGAGUUUAUGAGGUGUCGCUAGCUCCAAGUCCCUGUUUCACAGGGAGAACCUACUUGGUGCUGUAACAUUCAAAUGAUAUGAAGGGACUUCUUUGAGGCAUUAGUUUGGUACUGAUCACAAGGUUGCCUUCAUAUGUAUGAGAUACUGCCCACAAGCAACUACAUUCUGGGUGUUUUUAAAUACCUAUUUAUCCUAUUUGUUUAAAAUAUUAUCUUCUGAACUUUAAUAGUUUGUUAAACUUACAUUAUUUUACACAAAGUAUAUAUUUUGGACAUAAAUGUUUAGUCCUUAAGUACUAAGCAAUUUUUGUGAAAUACAAAAUUUUUAACCUUUCUCAUGUCACAGCUCUGCAUGUUAUCACAUGGUAGUGUGAAUUAGUAACUAAGCUAUAUUUGUGAAAUACAAAAUUUUUAACCUUUCUCAUCUUACAGCUCUGCGAUUUAUCACAUAGUACUGUGAAUUAGCAAUGAAAUUUUUUGAAAAAAAAUUACGGAGCUCACUUUUGGUUACUUGUUCUUAAUAUCUAGAAAUAAUUUUUUGAAUUCUUUUGCCACAGCUAGUGAUGAUUUGUCUGCAAAAUCGAUGUGUUGUGAAACCAAGUCCCUGCUUGCAGGGAGAACCUACUUGGGGAAGCAGCAUUUUACAUGACAUUAGUCAGAUACUUCUGAGGCUCUGAGUUUAAAAUGUUUACUCUUUGGAUUCCGUUUGAUUUACUUUUCACUAUUAAAAAUUUAAUUGUACGGUAGAUGGUACUUCCUAGCUAUCCUUACUGUGACAUGGUAUAUGUCUGUCUGCCUGUUGAUCAAGGGUGAAUAUACUUUGUAAAUAAGAAGACCACCUUCUCCACUCUUUUGCAGUUGUUAAAAUCCCACUGAUGAAUCAAAACUUCAACCUUUCUUUGCUUUUUAAACAAAUCAUGGAUGCCAUUUCAAACAAAUGAUGUGGUGGAAGACAACAGAGAGUAUUUUUUGCAGUCCUUAACUAAAUGAGUUUGGAUCCUCUCCAGUUUGGGGUUGAACAUGAAGAGUUCCAUAUUCCAUUUGUAGGCUAUCUGUACAUUCUGGUGGAGCCUGUGAUUGUUUCAGGCUCAGAUCUGCACCAAUCCGUGGAUGUUUGGCGCUGCUCAGCCACAAGUUGUGCGACAAGGAUGGCCCAAGUUUUCUUGCUGCUCUCGCUUUUGUUUUUAAUCUUUAUCUUUUUCCCUCUGUUUUUUGGCUUUGCUAUGAUAAUCACUGCAUGUGAUUGUUCCUCUGGAUUAUGUCACCCGACUUACAUUACUUGUGUCUCCAAGUACUUGAGUUCAACUAUCCUCAUGCUAGCGCUCCCAACUGGCAUGUAGGCUGAAGAACUCAGAAAUUGAGUGUUGUCAUCAGCUUCGUCUCUCAUCAAAUGAGAUUGGAGUUAAAUAACAGCACAACAUUGUACAUUUUCCCAUGUUCUUAUAUGUUAGUUAUUGUCAGGGUUGUGUUUUAUACAAAUGUGUAUGUCUAAAUGUCUAUCAAUUUAUACCUAAAGUGUGUUUUAUGUGUUUUGUUGGGGUAAUUAGAUUGUCCAUAUCCUUGUAUGUUCUUAGUCAUCUUUCAUUUCUCAAUCUGUGGCAUCUAGUGUUAUUUCUUUCAAUUCUUGGUAGUUUACCAUGCUCUGAAGCCUGAAGGUUAGAAUGUCUGAAUAAAAUAUAUUCAAGAUUUAUUAAUAGUUUGUGGAGAUAUUAAUAGUGUCAAUGAUUUGUAACUUUAAACUAAGUACAGUAAUUCAAGUGUUUUGGUUGUAUUAGAGUGAUAAUAUACAUGCAUGCUAGGGUUUUGCGUGGCUUAGGGUUCCAUCAGCGGUGUUGAUGGCGGUCAAAAGGUGCCGCCAUACCUUCGCUGGAUCCCAUGGUAACACUUUGAUAUGAAUUGUGUAUCAGAUUCACUACCAUCAGCAUUAAGCAGAAGAGGAAAUAUGGUGAUGAUAUGAAGGCUCUUUACAUCUCUGAAGUCGGAGAGCUUGGGAUAGAUUUUCAGGUGCAUCUUAUACUUUCAAAUGAUUGGGACAUGCCUGUGGUGAAGUAGUUGUGGGCAACUAUAAGAAAUAUUUGUAAAAAUAAUAGCUUGUGGGAUGGCCUGAUUACACAUAGAAGCUUGAAUGUUUGUGAUCUUUCUAAUUAUCAUAGGUUUCUUCUGGUAUAACAUGAGUUUUGAUAGAAUACACUCCUCUUUUAAUUGGUGCACCUUCUUGUUUCACACCAGUAUGAAAAUUGAAUAUGAAUCAAUGUGGAUCUCUUUAAGGUUGGAGUACUCAUAAAGAUAUUUGAGACCAAGCUAGAAGGCAAAUGGAGAAAACAAUAAGGGCUAUAUAAAAGGAUCCAAAGCAUUCAAUAAGGUUCACACGCUACUACAUCUCCACUCAUCAUCCGCACUCUCUUGUUAGCUGUCACCCUAUUAGAGAUGGGCAUGGAUAAAAUCCGCUCGGCUAGUUGUUCAUCGAACAUGCGCCCAAUGUAAUUGUAUGUCCCACCUCCACUCUCCUCUGAUGAUUAGCUUGCAUACCUUUUGACCCUCCAACCAUAUGUGAUCGAUCAUGGUAGGCAAAUCGUUCAGUGUGCCCUCAGCUAACUACCUAUCCUCCAAAAUUUUGACAAAGAUCUUCCAUCUAGUCUUUGGUAACAUCCAUGCGCACCAAUCUCUUGCCAUAUAAAGAUGUUCGUCCUACGCGCAUGGUGUCUUGAGCUGCUGGGUCACCAUACUUUGCCCUCGGUGCUCCAUAAAUAUGUUGGCUCCAGAAUAAGUUUGGCUGCUAGCCUGAUCGAUAGUAUCUUCCUGUGCUCGAUCAGAGAAUGAACACUCAAACCAUCUUGGCUUGUCAAUUGAUAGAUGGUUUUCCAACCUCCUCUGUCACCCCAGAUGAAAUUUCUGAAUAGCCUUUCCAAACCUUGUAGAGUUGUAAGUGGGACCAUUGUAUUAGAAAGCAAGUAGAUGGGGUUGGAACUCAUGAUGGAUCUAACCAAGGUAACUUUGCCCAUCAUCGAUAGUGCACUCACCUAUCAGCUUUUCAGUCUAUGUCUGAUGCUCUACUUCAUAUUCGUACACUCCUCCUUGCGCAGUCGGUGUCCUGUGAUCGGAACCCCAAGGUACUUGAGGCUCCCCUCCUACUCACCAAUCCUCAAGAUGCUCAUGAUAGAUGCCUUCAUCCCAGGCUCAGUCUUCGGGCUAAAGCAGAUGGCAAGUUGACUUGCUGACCAGAUAUCCAGCAGUAUACCCCCAUCCUUUUGAUGGCUAGUGUCAACCUCCUCGUUGCACGAGCCAAUAGCAUACAAUCAUCUGCUAAUGAUAGGUGUGAGAUCGGGGUCGUCCCCUGCACUAGGCUAUAGGCUUCCAUCUCCUGUGUCGCCGUCGUCCCCUUUAGGUGGAUACAUGUGAGGUGGGACUUACACAUGUCAUAGUCAACUGUUUGAAUAAAUAUACACAUGUGUGCUUUUCAAAAAAGUAUAUUUUGUGCAAAUAAAGAGAGGAGGUCUGUUUAUGAAUUGUCUUUCAGCAAGAGAGGUACGCAAAAGGUGAGGAGGGCUAAAUUGAAAUUUUUAAAAAUUUUAGGUAGUAAUACAGCGAAAAUUAAAUGCUUCAUAGGUGAAUGUUGAUAUCAAAGUAUGAAAGGAAUUAAAGUAAGAAAAACAAACAAGGCAAAUAUAAGAAAUUUAAAUUGGUUUGAUGCGAAUCUUGAAUCUAUAUCCAUUCCUCAAGACUUUCUUCUUUGGAAUUUCAUUAUAAUCUAUAAUCUAGAUUACAGUUUUAGUUGUUUUUUGGUUCAUAACCAAAUCUAGUUGAUUUUCUUAAAUUAAUUACUCCAAAUUUUAAUUGAUUGUUUUUCGAGUUCAUAAUCAGUUUAGUUGAUUUUUCAGGCAAUUAACUAAAAUUUUUUCCGAGCCUAUUCUAGACUCAGCAUAAUUCAAUUUUCGAUUUAAAUGGACUUUUCUUUAAGUUUAAAUUCUUUAAAUUUGUUACAGCAAAGAAUAGAAAAAAAGUAAAUGCCGUUACAAUGAAUAUAGCUCGAAAAUAAUAAACACAAUAGUAAAUAGAGCUAGACUAUGUUCAUUGACUUUAAAAACUCUUGAAGGUACUUCACCAACUCUCUAAUCGAUCAUCUCGCAAUGAAAGCACUUGAUAUUUUCUUUGAAGCUUUCUCUUUCUGCUUUUUUUUUCCUAGCUCUAGUGGAUUUAUCUUCUGAGAUUGUUAUGAGGUCGACAUGUGAUCUGUUAGAGUUGGCUUGUGAAGAUGCAUCAGUCACCAGUCAGCAAUAAGAGCAGCUAAAGAUUUUUUUCUUUACUUUCUGAAAUUAUCAAAGCAAAUAGAUUAGUCAAUUUUUAACUCAACUAUUUUGUAUCAUCAAAAUCCAUCCUUCAGGUCAAUACUUAGCAUUUAAAUUGAAGCUCUACUCACCUCCUAAAUUGAAGCUUUCAAGGGUAGACUCAAACAAAGUUUAGACACUUAAUGAGGCCAAAAAGAGGAAAUGAAUUAAAAUUGAUUCUCUAUUUUAUAAUAUAUAGACGGAACUAAAGUCUAAAGUAAGCUAAUUAAGUGAGCCGACUAGUUCCUCUUAUUCUAAGUUCCAGCUUUUAAAAUAAUUAGGUUAUGCAUGUGUCAUGGUUGACGUAAACAAAAAUUUUGUUCCUACCUUAAUGUUAUGCUUUAACAAGGAGGGGAAAGAAACGAGGGCAACGAAAACUGGAAGGAACAGACAUCCUUUCUAAACUGGGAAGAUUUGGAAGGGUGCAAGGGGAGAACAAGAUAGACUCGGAAGCACCCAAGUUAAAUAAAACUUAUAAGAGAAAGUGGCCGUAAUUUCCUCAGGUUUAAAGAUACAUGUCUCAUUUAUUAGGUUCUGGCGGUGGUUUUCUUUUCCAGGCAAAAUCUCUAUUUUGUCCUUGCUAUUUACCCAAUUUUCUAGGAUGUUUUCUUCUCCAAAACUUAUAUAAAUUGAAAAGACAUUGUGUUUCUAACAAAAAAAAAUGGUAAAGGGUGUGUGGGAUUUCUUGCAAUUGGUGUGACUGCUUUCUUGCCAUAAGGUAAGAGCAUCUCUUGGAGGAUAUAAUCAUUGAUAUUGGCUAUUGCUAAUGUAAAGGUGGUACACUUCUAAAGGAAAGCUAAUUAAACAGCGGAUUGGUUGGCAAAGAGAUGAGGGUACCAGGCUGGCAAAGACAUGCACUCAUGAAGGUACCAACCACCAGCGAAGACUAAGCUCUCAGCAAAUCAAAUUUAAUUAACUAAAUUAUUAAACUUUGAUAUAUUAAAUAUUAAUAUAGAAGAAUAUAGCAAAAAUUUGUAGUAGCUGAAACAAGCAUUAAAAUUAUAUCUUAGCCUGAUUCUAUUUAUUGAAGGAGGAGUAUUUGAUGAAUAAAUUAACCACAUGCAUUUUGGGCUAAGAUAUGAUAAGUUUAUAUCUAUUUUUAGAUAAUAUUAUAGAUUACGUAUAUUAUUGUUUGCUCUUUUAGAGCAAAUGUGCUCCUGCUGCCUCAAAGGAAGGAUAAAUUUAUAGAACAGGGAUCAGAAAUAAAUACAAUCACUCGCAUUAGUUAGCAAUAUAUCUACCGAUGGAAUAUCUCAAUACCAAGAUAUAUUAACUCGGUGCUUGUAACUUUCCUACAGUUUUGUCUUUGAGGCCUUUCCUGCAGUGGGCCGGUCUAAGACAAACUUACGGUCAUUAUAUCCGUACAUUUAGUAUGGAAGCUGAUUUACCUAUCAAACGUUGGUACAUCUUAUAUAUCGUAUAUCAGUACUGAAUCGGUAUACUAUGCUCCAUAUCGUUUGAUUCCAUUUAAUUUGGCAUGGUAUAUCAUGUUUAAUAUUUCGAUACACUAUCAGCACCCGCAUAGGAAUCCCAGUAAUAUAUCCGAUCACAAUAAUGUUUUAUCCGGGGGGUUUAUAGAUCUGCUCCCUCUCGUAGCAUUAGCGAAGCCAUAGCGGAUGAGAACAGCGGACACGCAAGCGUCCGCCGCCUGUCCGCCGCCUGUCCGCGUCUUUUUAUUUUUUAUUUUUCUUAAACCGUUGAAGACAAGCCUGCCUCUGCGGCUCUGCCCGUCGCCUUCCUCCCUUCCACAAAGAAAGGAAUCCUUUCCCGCCUCACAGAAAACGGGAAGAAUCGCGAUGCCUUUCUUGGUCGGCCAGUCAAACAAGCCUUCCCAUUAAUUGAUCCAGUCAUGCACCUUGUCUUUUUCUUCCUUUUUUUUAUAUAAAUAUUUAAUUAUUUACCAUACAUUCUAUAGCUUCAAAGAAACAUCUAAAAAAUAAAUAAAAGAAAAAAAACAAAUGACUGAAUAGUUAUAUCGUAGAUAAGCUUCUCUCUAUUUUUUUCUAAAAUUAAUAUAAUUUAUAAACUUCAAAUUAAUAAAAAAAAUUGUUUCAUCCCAUGCGAAUUUACAUUCGCUAUAUUGUUGCACAAAUAAAAUCAACUUUAAUUAACAAAAAAUAUUUUAAAUAUCUAAAAUUAAAGAAAAAAGGAAAAUUAACCGGGACAGUUAAUCUUCUGCCGCGGCCUCUUGUAAGGCCACGUGUCUGUACGUCUUCUAAGAAGAAAACGAAGAGGAAACGAAGACCAGAGACCUAAAGUUCUCUCUCUUCUAGCAGUCCACCCUUCUCUCUCUGAUCUCUCUCUCUCUUGGUUCUCGGCAUGAGGUUCUCGGCCUUCUUCUUUGACGGCGCCUCCCGCGCCUUCCACCAUCGCCCUACCUUCUCCAAGCUCGUAGUCAUCUUGGCCGCCAGGUCUUCUCCUCUUUAAUUCUGCGUUUUGAUCUAGUUUAAGCUGCCAUUCCGUUUCAAAAUCCGCUCUUUAAUGUAUUAUGUGAUGGAAUUUAGCUGGAAACUGGUUUCAUUUUGCUUCAGAUCUAUAAAGAGCUUUGUAUUUUCGUUUCCUGGAUUGCUGGUACAAGAAACUUGUCUUUUCCGUGAUCUUGUCUUACUUGCACUUGUUCUGGUUCUGGAUCUCCAGAUGUUGGGGAUCCUUUUUCUUUGUUGGAUGAGAUCUAGUCUUUACUCAAAAAUACCCAUCAUAAAUGGACAUCCAUUUACUAGUCAAGGGUUUCUAUUUUUUCCUUUGAAGACAGCUAAUAGUUAAUUCAUCACUAGGAUGCAGCCAUGGCUAUAACUUGGCGGUUGCAGAUGUCUACGAAAUGAACAAAAGAAAAAAAAAACAGAUGAUGUAUGGCAAGAGAUGAGGAGAUAGAUGCUUUGUUUCUUUUUCAAUCUCAUAUUAUCAUUGACUUGUAACACUUGAAGCAAUUACUUUAUGCAUUCAGUUAUUGAUAGUUGUUCGUAUUGAAAACUGAAAAUGCUGUGGCUGGCUCAUGUUGAUUGGGUGCCUUUAAUACAAAGCUUGCACGUUUAAACGGUUGCCUCUAUUGCACAUCAGUACUAUAAGGAAUUCUUAGUUGAAUAUUCCUUCCACACGGGCCAUUGGAUGAGAUCUAGUAGUCGUGAUUUCUUCUGCAUCCAAGCUAUAUAUAACCUCACUAGCUGGAUAUUGAGCUCUGACACAGUACAUACAGUUAGAUUGUAACUUUCCAUCUGAUUGAUUAAUUUUAUGUCCAAAAGAAAACUCAAGUGUCUGAACUAGUUUCUUAACCCAAUCACAUGGUGAUAUAUUUAAAAAUGCAUUUAUAGUUUUCAAGGAUCGCUGAACAGGUAUCGAUAGAUGUACCGGUUUUCAUCCGUACCGGUUCGGACCGAUACCAAACCGGUACUGAACCGAUACCACUGAUUUGGCCUGGUUCAUGCAUCCAAAAGUCCAAAAAAAAUUUAGAACUGGUACAAACCAGUACGGGCUGGUACAGUUGGCCGGUCGGGCCAGUACAGACUGGUACAUGCUGAACGGGCCGGUUCCGCAUUCCUUGAUUUUCGAUACCUUUUGAUAAUCAAAUGAGAGCUGGAUUGUCUUUUCUUCUACUAGUUAUAAAUUAUACUAUUUAAGAUCCCAUAGAUUCUUUCAUCUUUUUUACUUUCUGUUUCAUAUUUUCUCUUCCACGAUGUAUAUAUCAGGGGCAUCAAUUUUCUCUGCCCUAUGGGGUAUCGACCCAACUCAACCCUAAUGGGGCGGGCUUUAUCCGACUCGCAACAGAUCUGGGGAGGGUAUGGGUAAUGAUAAAACCUACCCCAAACCUGACUCGGAUAUAUAUAACUCUUCACAAAUUCCUCCCGAGGUAAAAAAAAAAAGUGAUAUAUAGGAAAAAAAUGAUUGUUUUUAGUUUGUCUGGCCGAAAUUCUCUAACCCGCCCCACCUCGUCCCGAGGCAAGUAUGUAGCGGGUAAUGUGUAAUGGCCUACUCAACUCAUAUUUGAUUCGUUGCGAUCCCUAUUAUACAUUCUAGUGGUGGCAAUCGGGUUCGGUUGGAUCAUAUGAGUUGCAUUGGGUUGGACUAGAUACGGGUCAUAUUGAAUACAAGAUAAAUCAAAAAUCUAUCAACCCGAACUAGACCUGUUCAUUAAACGGGUCAAAAAUCUAGACCCAAACCUAACCAUAUUAUUGAACAUGCAACCUCCAAUCUACAACAGGUCGAAACAAGUUAAACAUGUUAAAUUGUUAAGUAGUGCCACCCUUAAUAUAUUUUCUAUGCAUAUUUUAAAAAUCUUACAUGUCUUCUAGUACUAGAAGUCUAGAAGGAUCAUACAUAUUAUCUUUUCCUUCUCUCGGGCAAAAAAAAUUCCAUUUCAUGGUUUGCUAUACCAGACUGUAUCACCUGAUAUAGGGUAUGCCAUACUAGUAGCAAACUAAUACUCAGUGCAUGGGGUGUACUAGCAUGGUACUAGUUUCAAUACCGAAAUCAAUACUGUCAACCAUGAUCCAUUCCAGUAAGCUACACCAAAGCUUAUAUCAAUAGGAACUAAGAGGAGGGGGAAAAACUAUUGUUCAAACUUAGAAACUCCCAUGUUUUCUAUUAUGAUUUUAUGUACCAUUUCUUUCUUUCUUUCUCAAAUAUAAAUUAUAUGAUCCAUUCUGAGAGCCAACAUCAAACCUGUUUUCAGGGAAAAUAAAAAGAAAAAAUAAUAUUGUUGAUCAGUCACCUAUUUGGUGAGCUUCACUUCUUGCUCCAUUAUUGCUAUUAUCAUUUAGUUGAUUUACAAGAAAAAUAUUAAAAGUUGUAUGGUUUGCAAAUUUGGCCUGAUUUUAAAUUCCCUAACUUCUAAUUGGUUACAAAGAACUCCUGGAUUAGGGUGAAGGUUUACAAGUGCCCCUUAUUGUAUGUAACAAUUGGAUUGGGGAAACGGGGAAUGAUUUUUCUUUUCUUCACGCUCUUGCAGGGUCACAUUAGUUAAGAGUAGUUUUAAUAUUGUUUUAAAUUAAACAAGCUCGAUUCCUAUACCUGGUACCACUUGUUAGCUGACCCGUAUUACUGGUAAUCUGCCAGUUCUUGACCAUAUGUUCUGAACGCAUGGGAGGUUCAAGGAAAGAAAGAAGUGCCGAAGGAAAAGUCUGUAAGCAGUGAGGAUCCGAUUGUAGUUUAGCAAGAGUGGGCAUUUAAAUAAUUUAUUGUUUUUAACAUUGAUGUGUGAAUGGCUAAGCCGGUUAACCAACCUGUCACAAAAAUAACUGGCAGUUGGAGCAAAAUGAUCUGCUGACAUAUUUUCUUGUCACUGUUCCUCAUUUACAGCUAAAAUGUACGUAUAUUACAUAGAUAAUAAAUGCAUACAUACAUAUGUAUGUAUAUGUGAAUGUGUAUGGAUAUGCAUAUGUAAUGAAUGCACAUAUGGCUUGUAUUAUUCUGAGUCAUUUUUUAUCCUCGUGUUAGAAAUAUUCUGAUCUAUAUGAGUUUCCAACAAUUUAAAAGCUUAUUUACAUUGUUGAUGUUAUCAGUAUGUCCUAUAGUGUGGCUUAUGCUUCCUAACUUGCAGUGGUGGAGGUCUUGUGGCAUAUGCUGACUCAAAAUCAGACCAUGCCAUUGAAUCAUCUCGAGUAGCACCCAAGAAAAAGGUGGUAGUUCUUGGUACUGGUUGGGCUGGCACAACUUUCUUGAAAAAUCUAGAUAGCUCAUUGUAUGAUGUACAAGUGGUAUCACCUCGUAAUUACUUUACAUUUACCCCUUUGCUACCUAGCAUCACAUGUGGAACAGUUGAACCACGCAGCAUUGUUGAGCCGAUUCGCAGAAUCAUAAAAAAGGUACAAAUUGGCAUAUGUUAUUCCUGUUGAGUUACUUUUUCCUUUUUUCCUUUUUCUUUUUGAAAAGUAGGGAAUUGUUAUUAUAUAGGUUAUCAUUUAUAGUGCUUUUUCUUUUAAAAAAAUCCUUUUUAUUUCUUUACAUUUUAAUUUGUAAAUGAGUAGUAUUCUAUGUGAGGAUGAGUUAAAGUUUUCCAUUAGUUCAAUAAUUGUACUAGUAUUCCUUUAAAAGAAAAAUUGAGAAGCUAGUAAUAGCAGACUCUUAUGAUGCUUAUGGUUCAAGAAUGUAAUUAGUAUGACAAGAAUGGUAACUUCAUAUACGAUGUCAAACUGUCAACGUGUCAAGGCAGAGUAGGCAUCCACCUUAAUGCUUGCAUCAAUCUUAAAUAAAGCAUCUUUCUUCAUAUUUGUGAAAACAACGUGAUCUACCUCCAUAGAUAAAGUUGGCACAUAAAAGAUGAUUGAAGAAUAAUGAUAAAAAAAAAUAAUGAAAAGAGUCUGAUGUUGAGAGUUUAUUAAGGUAGUGAUUUUUCCCCAUGAUCCUGAUCAUAUUCGUGUUCGGAUAUAUUUUGUUUAGUUUUAAGUUUUAUGUUGCUUGGUUUCCAUCUCUGCCAGAGGUUAAUGUGUGUUUGUGUGUUCCUAAUAAAUAAUCUGGUCCUGUCAGUGAAGUAGUACUCAGCCUCUUUUCCGAUUAAUGAUUUUGCAGAAGGGAGGAGAAAUAAAAUUUUGGGAAGCUGAAUGUUUCAAAAUCGAUCCAACAAGCAAAAAAAUCCACUGUCGAUCUGAUAUUGGCACAAAUUUGGAUGGAAAUGGUGAAUUUCUUCUUGAUUAUGACUAUCUGGUGAUAGCAAUUGGAGCCAGGGCAAAUACAUUUAACACCCCUGGUGUAGUGGAACAUUGUCACUUUCUGAAGGUACACUUACUCUCAUCAGAAUAGAAGUCCUUAAUGCCAGUACAAUUCACUUGCAAAGACAACAGACAUGCUAGGAAUUAUUACUGUAAAUAACAGCAGAUACAAAUUUUUAAGCUUAUUUGCUUGAGACCGUUUUCACCAAGCUACUAGAUUCAUAUAGCAGAUAGUAUUAUUGCUGUAUGUUUCUGAUACAUGCAGAAACAAUCUCACCACAUAUGUGCCCCAAUUGUUUCUUAACUUUUUGAUAGGUAUCUUAAAUUUUCUCAGCAUCAAGUUUCAAUCAAGGUAUGCCAUCUCGGUACUGGGCCCAUUAUUGGUGCUACCCUAUCACUGCGUUAGCACGCCUGGUAUGGGGCCCUACUGAGUGUCGGUAUACCCCCCCUGUACUGUGUACCGGUACCUAACCAACAUGAUACAGUUCGGUAUAGUACUCUCCGUACCAUGCGGUUCGGUAUGGUAUAGCGUACUAUAUUUCAAUAUUAUUCAAAAUGAUGCCUUUAGAAAAAGUUGGCUAUUAUGUUUGUUGAUUGCCCGAUUGCGCCCUUCUCGAGAGGUUUUGUCUAAUCCAUAGUAGCUAUAUGCAGGAAGUAGAGGACGCUCAGAAAAUUCGUAGGAGUGUAAUGGACUGUUUUGAGAGGGCCAGUCUUCCAAACCUUGAUGCAGAAGAGAGGAAGAGGAUUCUUCAUUUUGUUAUUGUUGGUGGUGGUCCAUCUGGUAUUGAAUUCGCUGCAGAGUUGCAUGAUUUUGUUACUGAAGAUUUAUUUAAGUUAUACCCUAUGGUUCAAGACUUGGUGAAAAUAUCUGUUAUUGAAGCUGGAGAGCAUAUCUUGACCAUGUAAGGCCGCGCUCAUUAUUAUAUCAAUUCUCAUCUGAUUCCCUGAUUUGACUAUUUUUGUGAGUUUGAAAUUGGAUUGUGCAAAAUCACAACUCCAUCCCACUAUUUGUGGUUUAGUAGCAGGUUUCAUUGUCAUUAGAAUUCAUAUUAGCUAGCAUCUAUAAGCCCAUCAAAGGCUUGUGGCAAGCAGUGAUGUAUAAUACAACAAUUGUUAUUCUAAUUGAUUUUUAAUCUAGUUCUGUUCCAUACUAAGGAUAUGUUUUGAUAUUGUACAAAAUCAUGGCAAUUUAUGGUUUUUUAUGAUUUUGGAAAUUGUACAUUCUGAUUUGCUAAUACCAGGAGUUUGGUUGACAAUGAAAUUUCAUAAAAGCUCUACCACCACUUGCAAAUUUUGAUUUGCGUAGAAAUUUUAAGUUUUCUCUCCUUAUUAGCUUAUUUUUUCCUUUUUUCUUGAGAGAGAAAUAUUUUUCAAUCUUUUAAGAUCUUCCUUUCAUAAAAUCUCAACUUCAAUAGGAAUCAAGUAUCAGGGAAAAGACAGGCUUGUGUUUUUGAAAUUAAAAACAUCCAAAUGCAACCAAAAGUACAUUUAUCUAAAUUUAUUCUAUUUCAUCUUCAUGUUUAUCAUUAAAAUUUAUUUUUCAUAUCGCCUCUUAUUUCUAACUCUCUUUUUCCUCCCUGUCCUACCUUAUGUAAUUUGCAUGUGCAUUAUGUUUGUAUCAUGCAGGUUUGACAAGAGGAUCACUAAAUUUGCGGAAGAGAAGUUCCAAAGAGAUGGUAUUGAAGUGAAAACAGGGCUUAGGGUUGUGGAGGUGGCCGACAAAAACAUCACAAUGACACACAAAUCAACUGAAAAAAUGUCUGUACCAUAUGGAAUGGUUGUCUGGUCAACUGGUAUCGGGACACGCCCUGUCAUAAUGGAUUUUAUGAAACAAAUUGGUCAGGUUAAUUGAUUGUAGCUUAUGGUCACCAUUUUCUAAAAUUUGAUUUCUUAAAAUUUUGUAGAUACUUUAAUUUAUAUUUAAUUAUUUCCCAAUUGGACAGGUUAACCGGCGUGUGUUAGCAACUGAUGAGUGGCUGAGAGUCCAUGAAUGCAAUGGUGUAUAUGCACUUGGUGAUUGUGCCACCAUAAGUCAACGAAAAGUCAUGGUAUGUGAAACUUAGUUGUUGACCUCUUGUCUUGUUUCUUUAAAAUGUGCUGGCUAUGAGGUACAUAUAGUAUGUGAAUUGGAUCAAUAACAUGAAAAUAGUACUGUUUUCAUAGGUAAAUACAUAGUUCUGUAUGUUGUUGAGUUAGAAAGCUGUCCUCAUUGUUCAAAUAACAGCAAUUUUGAUCCACAUUGUAAAAUGCCUUACUAUAUCAGUUGCCUUGAAGGUUCCUUGCCUAUUCAUUAAAUAGACAAAAGUUUAUGUGACUGAAAUAGCUACAGGAAGAAAAUGCAUGAUGGGUUAUGUAAAUUGAGGAUAACUUUGGCCUUGCUUACCAUUUUGACUUUCAACUUCAGCACCUAUGACUGAUAGCUUGAAGCAUAGAUUGUCGAGCUGCCAUUUCACAAUUUAAACGAGUUUAUCCUGUUCAGUUUUAAUCUCCGGCAUAACUUCAUGAAACCUUUUGGUAGCCUUUGAUUGUCAUCUAGUGACAAUAUCAAACAGGUACACAUAGCAAGUGAUAAUGUAUAACUUAAAUGAUAGCAAAUACAGAGACUUCAUGCAGGUUUUAUACGUUGCAUUUAACUAGACAUCACAAUGAGAGUAUCAAUUAGCAGUCAACCAAGAUUGCAGUAUGACCAAUCUGAUUUAUGAAUAUGCCUUUGUACUUUCAGGAAGACAUCUCAGCAAUCUUUAAGGUUGCAGACAAGGACAAUUCUGGAACUUUAACUGUGAAAGAAAUCCAAGAUGUUUUAGAUGAUAUUUGCAUAAGAUACCCUCAAGUGGAACUCUAUUUGAAGAGCAAGCAAAUGAGCGACAUUGUUGAUUUAAUUAUGGAUUCCAAAGGUGAUGUUGAGAAGGAAUCUGUAGAACUGGACAUAGAAGAGUUCAAAAGAGCUCUUGCAAAUGUAGAUUCACAAGUCAAAAAUCUUCCUGCAACAGCUCAGGUAAAUGUGAUGUAACUGACAAUUGAAGUUUUAUAAUUUGUCUAGUUUUGUAUAACCAAGGACAUUAUCUUUAAUAUUCUUCACUAACAUGUACCAGGUUGCUGCACAACAAGGCAAUUAUCUUGCUAAAUGUUUUAACAAAAUGAAGGACUGUGAAGAGAGUCCUGAAGGUCCACUGCGCAUGAGAGAAUCAGGUCGCCAUCACUUUCGCCCCUUCAGGUACCUGUUCUGGUUAUGCUUCUUUCUCUCUCUUUCAUUUUUCUUUUUUAUUUUUUGGGUUGGAUGAACUUUAAUCAGUAUGGGUGGCCAAUGUAUGAUCUAUUUUAAUUAUUAUUCUUUGGUAGUUGUAGAUCCCUGAUUUGUUUAUUUGAUGCCACCUAAUCUAAUAUUGUGGUACAAUGUAGUCUAUAUGUAUUGGAUCAGGCAAUAAUGAAACUAUAACACAUAAAUUUUCACUCGUUGCAGUGUGCAAAUGAUAAGUUUAAUCUGUCACUGCAAGAUUGGAAGAUGGCUAGCACCAUGUAAAUACUUGUUAUAUUUAUUAUUCAUUAGCUUCAUCCUUAUUGCAUAUGUUCUGAUGAUGGAGUCACCCUUGAACUGUGGUAUCGGAAUUCUUUGUACUUAGAAAACAGUGACCUGAUUAUAUUGGUCCAGAUAUUUGUAUAUACAUAGACACACACACACACACACACGUCUAUAUGUGUGUGCAUGUAUGCAUGUUCCCACGUGCACCUAUCUUUGAGUUUAUACUAAUGUUCUUGGAAAAUUAAUUGUUUUUAGUGUUUCUUUAGGAUUAUUAUAGCAGUGGUUGAUAUAUGAAUCCUACAUCAUGUAUUAAUUAUCUAUUAUUGGUUGAAGAAAGACAUGGCAGUAUUAAAUCCAUAAAUGAAACAUCACUUUGUGUGUGUGUGUGUAUAUAUAUAUAUAGUUGAUCAUUGAGAUAUAGAUUCAUGUGGACCCUAAUUUAUACGAAAGAUCUAGUAUUAUGUAUUCUACUCAUGUGAAAAUUGCGUUAUAGAUCUAUAGUAUUUUGAAAUUCUUUCAUGUGAGAAUUGGAUCAUUCAUUUAGAAGAAGUCCAAGUAACCCUACAUUGAUGUUUUGUUGACAAUUCAUUGUUGAUGAAAUUGAGAUAUGUCAAGGAUGAAACAUCUUGCUAUCAAUAUAAGCUAAACUAAAUUGAGUGAAGUUUUUGUCAAACUAUUAACUAUACACAUUCAUGGUUUUAGUCAUAAAUGGAAGAAAAGUUUCUAUGGGUAGUGUCUCUUAGUGUUGAUGCGAGUUUUGUUACUUCUCUUCUAGCAGUCCACCCUUCUCUCUCUGAUCUCUCUCUCUCUCGGUUCUCGGCAUGAGGUUCUCGGCCUUCUUCUUUGACGGCGCCUCCCGCGCCUUCCACCAUCGCCCUACCUUCUCCAAGCUCGUAGUCAUCUUGGCCGCAUUUUUUUCAAAGUUCUAAUUAGUUGAUGACAAGAUAUGCAGAACCGACUGAACCGACGUACCGGUGGAGACUGGUACCUUUCGGAACCGGUACUGAACCGGUUCAGAAAAGAAAAGAAAAAAAUGCGCGGACGCGUUAUGCUACAAAGUGGCAUUAAUGCCACUCUGUGGCAUUAAAAGCUCACGUGGGGCAGUGUGUGGGCUCACUGCCCCGCACAGCGAGCCCAUGCGGGAAACCGCGCGCGUAUGGUUCUCCGCGUGUGGACGCGCGGUUUCCACCGCGUGGAACGUGCACGGGCACGAGUCGGGGAUGCGUUUUGCCACUCGCGCCCGCCCUCCUCGUGGCCUCUCUCUCUCUUUUUUUCUUUCUUUUCUUUUUUUCCCUUCUCUUCUUCUUCCCGAGCUCCUCCUCUCUUCUUCCCCUCUCUCCUCCUCUCUUCUCCUCUCUUUCCUCCUUCUCCUGCGAGCAAGGGAGGUCUUCCCCGUGAGGUACUCGAGAGGAAGAAAAAGGCCCGGUAGCGCAAGAGAGGUCUUCUUCCCCUCUCUCCUCCUUUCUUCUCCUCUCUUCCUCCCUUCUUCCCCGCGAGUACCGGUGGGAACCGCACCGGUUCGCACCGGUACAGGCAAGGAACCGUUAGGGUCGGAACCAAAUUUUAUGGCUGUACCGUACUGGUAGAGGCUGGUAUCGGUAUGAUACAGACUGAACCGGUCAAUGCCGAUCGGUUCAGCAGACCUUGGUUGAUGGAAGGUAUAAAGGUUUAUGAAGGGUAACUAAGUAUAUAAACUCUAGUAGAUAACCAUUUUAUAUCAAGGAGUAAAAUGAAGGUAUACUAGAAUGCUUUGUUCUCCACUCAUCUUGUCCUCUUGCCUUCAACUCAUAUCUUCAUGUCUAUACAUGCAUACAUACAUAUAUGCAUACAUGCAUACAUAUACAUACAAUAUACAUACAUAAAUACAUGCAUACAUAUAUAAAAAAUAGGGGUAGCUUAGCACACGAGGCUCUUGCCAUUGUGAGGUUUGGAGAGGGUCAGAUAUUUGCGACCUUACCUUUUUCAUGCAGAGAGACUUAUAUUUGUGUUUUGAAACCAUGCUUCAAGUUACAAUGGAACAACCUUACCAUUGCACCAAGGCUUACCCUCUAUAUACAUACAUCGAUACAUAUAUGUACCAACAAAGUGGAAUUAGAGGUACAAUUAUCCUACAAGAUUGAUGGUAAGGAAGAGAUGAUUUUAGAGAUACGGUGGUCCUGCAAGAUUGACAAUAAUAAAGAGAUAUAUUUAAGAUUUUGAAGGCUUUGAGUACUAGUUUCUUGGCAUAGGAGAAGGUGAAAUUGAUUUGGAGAAGCAAAGGCAAUAUUGUUGCGAAAUUUUGAGUGAAUAAAAUAGAUAAAAGAAACAAAUGAUUAUAAUUGUAAAGAAAAGAUAAUGGAGAAAUAAAAGUUCUUUGAAGAAAAUUAGGAUAUUCUAACCGUUAUUUCAAGAGCUAGCUUGUGUUGGGCUAGAACUAGCACCUAGCAUGAGACAGCGUUGCACUUAUUAAACCUUCUUCUUUAGUAUACUCAAUUAAAGAGGUCUUUAUCCUUCCUUUUAAUCUAUUUCUUUGGCAUGCCUGCACAGCAUGGUACAUGCCUUGGAAGCCACUAGCUGGCAUCCACUAUGUGAUUGGUAUUUAUCUUGAUCCUAGCAAUAAAUAUUGGUGAUCGAACUCCUAUCUUCCAGAUUGUAAAUUAUGGAAUGUUACAUAGAAGCUAAAAAGUUGCAUGUCAAGGAAAUUUCAACGGGUAAAAAGAGAGAGAGAGCACUAAAUAACUCAUGAAUCACCAAACCAACUAAAGGAGAAGCUUAAGUCAAUCUGUUCUUGUUACAAGAGUGAACGUCACCAUAGGAGUAUUAGUUGGCAAUCUUGGAUGAUGAUGAAUCUUUGGAAGAAAACAUUGAAGAAGGCGAAACUGGAGUGGGUGACUUUAAGAAUGCAGAGUUUGAUGGAAAGGAUGAGAAAAAAGCAAAUGCAAACAAUAUUAGGGAAUAUUCUUUAAAAUUAUAAGAGAAAAUUGAAGAGUUAUAAGAAAAUAAGCAUGCAGAAGAAAUGAAAGAGGCAAGGAUAAUAGAUCAAGAGUAGAAAUUUUAUUGAAAGUUAGAAAGGCAAAGAAUGAUAAGCAAAUUGAAAGGGCACCGGUUUUUGAACCCAUUCAUUUAGUUUUCCAAUGAAAAGGCCAAUAUUCAAAAUAAGUAAUCAAACAUUUGAAAAACCAAACUUGCAAAUUCUUCGAUUGAUAAAUGCUAUGGUUAAUGGAAGCCUUACCUUUUUCCCUUUGAGCAAAAGAAGUGGGCACUAAACUAUUAAGCAUAAAUGUGAAGAAUAAUGUGUGUUUGAAUCAAAAAAUUGCACACCUAAAUGAAGAUGAUUUGAGAAGCCCUUUGAAGUCAAUAAAAAUGGCAUGAAGAUUCUUGUAUAUAGAAGUGUUGGAAAUUUCAUGAAGUGUAGGAAAGGCUUGAGGCAAAUGAAACCAAAUUUAGUGUCCAUUAAAGUAUGACAUACAUAUAUUUAUUGAUCUAGUCCUUAAAAUGAGAAGGUCCUCUCCCUUUUCCUCUUUUUCUCAACUUGAAUUUUAGCCAUUAUAUCACAAAUUUUGAACACACAUUAACCAUCUUGGCCAUAUAAACUUUCUCAAAUCCUUCCUCAUGGAGUGCAACUUGGUUACUUUAUGUUUAUUUUUCCUAAUUUAGCAUUAUACAGUACUAACUCUACCCUCUCUUGUUAUAGUUGCUUUUGGUCUUUUGCACUUUCUACACUCGACUAUUUUGGUUUCAACCAUGGGAUAUUCUUAGUUCAUAUUUUUUUCCUUCUAUUUAUGCCCAAUAUAUGAAAUUAUUAAUGGCACUUUAUUAUUUUAGAUUAGUUAAUGUAAAUCAAAGCUCCUCUAUUAACAAGGUUGCCAUUUUAUCUCUCUUUUCUUUUUUGAUCCAUUGCUCCUUUGAUAUACCUCAAAGAUGAUGUGAUUCCCUAUAUGAAGCCUUGCCUACUUCCCUUUUUCUAUGAACUCUUAACAAGUCAAGUGGAUUUUUGAAAGGUUGCUUUCUAGUAUCAUGAGGUUAAAACAUCCAAACAGAAAGACAUUUGUUCCUACCACUUGGUCUUUUAAGGCUUUAGGAGGAUGUUGUAUUUCUCAGGGCUCUUGUAACAUUGGGAGUUCUAGAAAUUUGAUGUAAAGAUCAAGAUCUACCUCCUAAAAAAUUUUAGCUUUUUCAUGAUUAUUUUCAUUAGUCAUGUUUAUUUUGGGAAAAUGGUAACCUCUUGUGACUACAAGAGGAACCGGAUUGUGUAAGGAUGGAUCUCAUAAGUAUAAAUAGAGGUUUUAUAACUUAGUUUUAUCAUCAUUAAUGAAACAAAAGGGGACCUAGAUGCCAUUAUCACCAAUUUUUCUAUCUUCUAAUAUUCUUUUAAGUGAUUUGAGUUGAGCAAGUUGAAGGAAUAGUGUGAAGAAAUUUUGCAUGCUGUGAAUGGAUCCACUAUAUUUACAUUUCGUAUAAAAAUUAACAAAGAACAAGGAAGUCUUGGAGACUUCUCAAGUUCACAAGUGCUAAAAUGUAGAGUGCUCUGUUUAGUUUUAUUGGAGUUCAGUCACAGAGAGAGAGAGAGAGAGAGAGAGAGAGAGAAGACACUAUCAUCAAUCAUACUAUGUGAGUGCAUGUACAACCGUGUCAAAAGUAUAUCCUGUUAUUUUUCUCUAAAUGUAAAAUUGCUACAUUUUCUCCUUUAUUGUGCUAUAAAACUACCUAAAUUUGUUUCUUUUCCUAUUUGAUACAUUCUUCUGAUCUGUUUUGUGAUCCAAGGUAUAAGCAUUUUGGGCAAUUUGCCCCAUUGGGCGGAGAACAGACUGCUGCACAGCUGCCUGGAGAUUGGAUCUCUAUAGGCCACAGUACCCAGUGGCUCUGGUAUUCUGUGUAUGCAAGGUAUAUGCUUUUUUUUUUCUUUUACUUAUUUUUUCUGUGAUACUUGAAAACUCUAAUUUAUUCAUUUUACUACCCAUUUUCCUUGGAAUUUUGAUACAUAGAUGGAAAUUUGAUCUUCUUUUUUCUGUUUUAUUCUUCACAAAUCAUGGUCUAAAGUGUGUUUUAGUACAGUCUGGUCCUUAUUCUUGCUAUUUCUUUUCAAAUUCAGCAAACAAGUCAGCUGGCGCACGAGAGCAUUGGUAAUUUCUGAUUGGAUGAGGCGUUUCAUAUUUGGGAGGGACUCAAGUUGCAUAUAAUUUCGCAAAAAAGUUCCCAGUACUUGCAAAACAGAGCUGCUUUUGAAGUUUUUGCAACCUACACAAAACUCAGAUCCCCUGCCCAUCUGUAUUGCUCAUCCUUUUUCUUGUUUGCCUUUUAAAUUUUUUAAGACCACGAGUAAGCUCUUGUUGGCAAUUUUGAGUAUAGCUAUUCUUGUUACUUCUGAGAUACAAAGAGUAUAGCUAUUCUUGUUGUAUGUCACAAUUAAACACCAAGUGUGGAUACUAAUUCUGUGUUUUGAUAUUGCAUUGGCUCCACUGUUAUGGAGGACUUUAUCCUCUUUAAUUUUUCCGGUUACAUUAUUUACUUUGAAAUUGCCUGUUCCUGAUCGGUUUUCAUGUGCAAUCUCUUGCUCUACAUAGUUAACGAUUUUUUUUUUUUUGUGUGUGUGUACUGCGGGCAUAUUUAUUGGUUUGAUUCGACCCGUGUCUCCGUCAUCCAAUUUCAGAAACCAGAUAGGAAAAUAUCUUUGCAUUAUGAUGUUUAUACUUAAGAAUAUAACUGACUGUGACCAUUGUAGAAGUAUGUAAGUAGUUUCUUUUUUCUUGAAAAAUGGAAAAUUGAAGCAUCUAUAUACAAGAACCAUCCCUCAUGGAUUUGGUUAUGGUUGGAAUAGUGUGCUCGAACUUAGUAAGGUGAACACAGUCGAUAACCUGCUUGAUUUUUUUUAAGACACUAUUCAUGUAUAUAUCAUUAUAUACGUUCAAGUAGAUUCAUCCAAAUUUUGCAUGUAAUAGAAAAACAUAUAUUACAUUAGUAAUUUUUCGUCACAUCCCAGCAAAUUACAUGACAAGCUUCAAUACCACUUUUGUCAUACAAAAAUAUAUGGUUGUCAAUAAUCACAAUAAAAUUGAUUUCUAAGUAUAUUUUGCAAUGCAAAUGCUUAAUAUAUUUAUACUUAUAAAAAUGCUAAAGUUUGGUUUCUUUAUUGUGCUUCCUAAGUAUUUACCAUCUUGAUUUUUCAUGCUAAAGAGUUGUCAUCUCAGUGGCUAUGAUCCAUUAAAUUAAAUCCAACCGUUUUAUCUUGUUUAUGGACCGAAACUUAAUUGGUUCAUUGUCCAGAGUUGGACUGGAAUGAUUCAGAGAGCAUUCGGCUCCAAAUGCUUCUCAAGCAAAAUCAAUCGAGGGCCUUAAAAUAAAAAUGAACAGCAUUGAUGAUUCUCUCUUGAUUCUUCUUUUCAGCUAACUGCAUCUCUUGGUUCCUGCGCCACUCCCACCAAUCAUUAGAUUGAUGGAUAAUUUGAUGGAUUAUUAGUUUUGAGGUGGAUGAUAUGAUACCUUCACUUGGGGUUGAGGCAGCAAAGGAGAUCCGACCGAUCCUCACCACCGCCGCAGCGAAUCCGACCAAUGCUUACCACCGCCACAGCGAUGAGGUUAUCAUAGAUCUCCCUGGCUCUGUCAUCCACAUGAAGGAAAACAGCUUGCUCGUCUGGGACGAAGUCCAUUAUCUUGCCCUCUACCCUCUUGCAUGAAUGAGAUGUAUGCCUGAAAUGCUUGCAAGAGAAAUCCUUCCUCAGGUGGAUAAUGAUAUCCAUUAACCCUGGUUGUAGCAGCUGGUGUAUUCCUCUUGAUCACAUCUGCCCAAUUAGAGAUGCUGCUGCACCAUCAAUAUCAAAGCAAUGAAAAAUUAACUUUGUGGAAAUAUAUUUAUGAUGUUCUUGGACAAUCAAUUAGGUUAUACUCGUCCAAACUAAUUUAAAUCUGACAAGGAAAAAUCAAAUCUAAAUUCGAACAUAAUUAGGGUCUAUUUGGAUAUUCCUAUAGAAAUAGGCUGAAAAUACCAUAGAAUUCGUGAAAUCGACCAUGUAUUUGGGCAUGAGCUUCUAUCAAUCAAAUACUAUAUAGCCUCUAUCAACCAAAGACCUCCUGCAACCCAAGGGCUAAGAUCUAGGUUGGGUUUAGAUAUAGCUCUUAGAAAAUGCGAGCUAAAUGAACCAACAAGCUUUAUUCCUGCAGGGUUUUCGGUCUAAGCAUGUAAGAAUACCCAAACAGGCCUUUAAUGGGAUUGUUAAGGAUCUUGUUGAUCUAGCCAACCAUAUAACAUUCAUGCAGCUCAUGAUAUAUACUAUUUGCUGUAUAAAUUACUACAUUUAAUUCAGUAUGCCAGCCUGAGCUAGGUACGACACAUUUCGAUUGAAAUGAGGGAAAAACCUAUCAGAACACUGCAAGUAUUACGACAGAAGAAUUGCCGUACAAGCGAGAUAGUUAGUUAUCAGAUGUUGAUGGGUUCCUCCUAUCAUAUGGUCUCAUAAACCAAUGUCUGUUGAUUAAGAAAGUGAACCCAAUACAUGCCUGGAUUUGGUAUAUUGCCUUUACCUGAUAUAGUUUACCUGCCUCUUGUUUAUUAAUUUUUAUAAUUCAUAUCUAUUCUAUUAUUAGACUGAAACUUUUCUAAUUUAGGCUCUAUUAGGGGUGCAAAUGAGCGGGGCAGCUCGGAGCUUAAUCGAAUAUCUAUAUUUUAACAAUAUCAUAUUUUAUUUAAAAUAUAUAUUAUUAAUUUAAUAUUUUAUAAUAUAAUAUAAUAUAAUAUAAUAUUUGGUUUUAACUAUAUUUUCUUAAUUAUGAUCAAAAUCUGAAUUCGAGCUCGAGUAUGGCUUGGUUGAUUUUCGAGCCGAGUCAAGUCGAUGAUGAGUAUUGCUUUUUUUUAUUAUUAUUGAGUCAGAGCUCGAGCUUGAAUAUUAAGGCUUGAUUGAUUUCGAAUCAAGUUUCGAGCUCGAGUAUUUUAAAUCGAAUCAAGCUCGAGCUUCUAGUUACUCGACUCGGCUCGGCUCAGUUCGAUUGCACCCUUAGGUUCCAUUUUGCAUAUUUCUAAAUAUCUUUUGCACAUUUGUCUUUUGGUAAAUAUUGGAUUAGUGACUCUGCCAUGGGUAGGGUUGAUCCAUCCCAAUAGCAUAUGCAUCACACUUUCUAAACUCCAUCAAAAUUUCUCACAAUAGCUUUGCCUCACAAUUAGCCACUCUAUCAACUUGAUGUAGAGUGUGCCCUUCUAUAUGGUGAUUUUCAAGAAAUAGUAUUUAUGUCUGAACCGUCUAGUUAUAUUGAUCAAUCAAAAUCCACUCAUGUUUGUGAGAUGCGCGAAUCAAUUUACGGACUCUAGCAAUUUCGUCGUACUUGGUAUGAAAAGUUUGGCUCAAAAUUUGUGAAGUUGGAGUUUAUUAUUUUACAAUCAAAUCCUUCGCUAUUUAUAUCUCAUCAGGGCAAUAUUACAUUAUAUCUUCUUCUUUAUGUUGAUGAUAUUAUUCUCGCUAGCAAUAAUAACAUUGCUCUUCGCAAGCUCAUUAUUGAACUUGCUAAUUCAUUUAAGAUUAAGGAUAUGGGAUCAUUGUCAUACUUUCUUUGUAUCCAAGUGGAUCGGUCGAGUGAUGGAAUUUUUCUACAUCAAUCCAAAUAUAUCUUAGACUUGUUACAAUGCACCAACAUGCUUGGAUGCAAACCAUGUUUAAGUCCUUGCUAUAUCGAAAAGCCGAGUCACAUGGAUAGCCCUCCUCUUGAUGAUCCUUCAUUUUAUCGGAGUAUUGUCGGAGCCUUUCAAUAUGUAACCUUAACACGAUCAGACAUUAUUUUCUCAGUCAACAAGGUCUAUCAAUUUUUACAUCUAAUGGAGGCCCAUAUGGUAGAAGUCAAACACAACUUCGAUUUCUUAAAGGCACCAUCACUAUUGGGCAUCAUCUAUGACCAGGCCCAUUAAAUUUUGUGGCUUACUCAGAUGCAGAUUGGGCUAGCAGCCCUAUUGAUAGACACUCUACAAGUGGUUUUGGUGUUUUUCUUAGACCUACCCUAUUUCUUGGAGCACUAAAAUGCAAACAACAAUUGCUCGAUCAUCUACUGAAAUGGAGUAUCAGUGCCUUACCAAAACUACUACUGAACUACGGUGGAUAUGUUCUCUCAUGCAUGAAUUAUAUAUUCCUCUCUACUCUGUUCCUUUAAUCUGGUUUGACAACAUUUCUGCCAUCUCUCUCACCUUCAAUCUAGUUUUUUAUACAAGAAAUAAACAUUUUGAGAUCGACUAUCACUAUGUCCGAGAAUUGGUAUGUAGGUUGUUAGCUUUUGGAUGUCAAUUCAUCUCAUCUAUAGGUUGAGCCGCUGACAUCUUCACCAAAGGUCUUCACUCUAACCACAUUUGGUUUUUACAAUCUAAGCUUCACAUUCAAUCGAAUGCUCAUCUUGAGAGAAAAUAAUAGCAUACCUUAAAUUCUCUCUAUUCAAAUUCAAUUUUUGAAUUCAAAUUAUUGUUGUAAUUUUUUCAUUAUUUUUCUCCUACUUUCUCUCUAUUCAAAUUUGAAUUUGAAUUCCUACUGCAAUAUUCUCCUUAUUUUUCUCCUAUAAUACUCUUGUACAUGUUAUAUAUAUUCAAUACAAACUCAAAAAAAUCCCAAGCAAUCAAGUGAGAUUUUAGCCGUCACACUGUAUGUCUUUCAGCUAUAAUAACCUAAGAUCUCACACAUAAAAACUAGCUAGAAGAUAUUGCUUGGGUUCCCAAGUCCUAUAUAAGUACCUAAAAUUUCUCCAAUGAGUAACCAGUGUGGGACUAAACAUACACCUGCACAGGUCCUUACAUACUCCUCUCGUUUAAACUUUAGCAUUCUCACGGGGCUAAAGGUCCAAAAUCCAUUAAAAUCCAAUGACAAACAUUAUGAUCAGCUCAUGGUUAACCUAAAUGGACCUAUGCUAUACUAUCUCCUAAUCCACAUAGGUCAUAGGCUGGAUCCGCUCUAAUAUAUUUGCAACGACCCAAGAUCUCAUCCAAAAAGGAUAGUCGAAAGGUAUUAUUUGGAUUUUUUGGCUCUACAUAAGUACCCAAAAUCAUUUCAGCACAUAUUUGAUGUGGGACUAAACACAUGCAUGUACGAGUCCUCACAUACUUUUUCCAUUUAAACCCUGGCGUCCUCAUCAGCCUAAGGGUCCAAAUCCGUUUAAACCUAAUUACAAACAUCACAAUUGGCUUGUAGUCAGCCCCAAUGAACUUAUGCUGCAAUAUUUUUUAAUUCCAUAGGUCAUGGGUUAGGUUCGCUCUGAUACCAUUUGUAACAACCCAAGAUCUCAUCCAAAAAGGCUAACUGGGAUAUUUUUGGGUUCCUUGGCUCUAUAUAUAUACCCAAGAUCUCUCUAAUGCAUAGCCGAUAUAGGACUAAACAUAUGCCCAGGUCCUCACAUAUGCAAUGCAUAUGUAGUCCAUCAUAGUAUGCAUGUAUAUGUAGGACCCUGUCCAAGGAAGAUGCUAUUAUUUUCUUCAAUGUAAAACUGCUGCAAUUUCUCCUUUAUUGUGCUAUAAAGCUACCUACAUUUGUUUCUUUUCUAUGUGAUACAUUCUUCCGAUCUAUUUUAUGAUUGGAGAUAUAAGCAUUUGGGAGAUUUGCCCCAUUAAAUGGAGAACAAAUAACUGCACAACUGCUUGGACCUUUAUAGGCCACAUUACCCAGUGGUUCUGGUAUUAUAUGCAAGGUCUAUACUUUUCUUUCUUUUAAUUACUAUAUCUGAAAAUAAUAAAUUCAACUUGCCCGAAAUAACUGCUUUAUCCUUGAGAUAAAUUUCUUUCAUGUGACGGUCAUUUUGGAGCAAUAUCUCAAUUACGUCAAUGUUCAGCUAUCUGUAGUACUGUGAUGAAUGCACAAGCAGGGGAGGUACGUUUGAGCAAUUUGUUGAUUUCACUUCCAUUUUACUUGAAAUUUUGAUGCAUGCAUGGAAAUUUACCUUCUUUUUCUUCUUUUCUUCUUUCCUCAUCACUAUGAUCUAAAGCGUGCCUCAAGUAUAGUUUGGUCCUUAUUCCUGUUGUUUCUUUUAAAAUUUCAUUUUUGGGACGGCCUCAAGUAGCAUAUAAUUUUGCAAGAAUGUCCAAAUUCUUGUAAAACAGAGCUUCCACUGAAGUUUCAGCAGCCUACACAAAAAUGAGAUCCCCUUUUCAUCUAUAUUUCUUAUCCUUUUCUUGUUUACCUUUUUAAUUCUAUGUUUCGAUAUCUAAUUGGUUCUACUGUUAUAGAGGAUUUGUACUCUUUCAUUUUUUCAGUUACAUUAUUCAUUCUGAAACUACCUGAUCAUGAUCAGUUUUCAUGCGCAAUCUCUUGUUGUACAUUGUUCACGAUUUUUUUUUUAAUAUAGUGGAUACAUUUAUUGGUUUGAUUGAACCUGUGGCUCUGUCAUCCAGAAGCCAAAUGGAAAAUAUCUUACUAUAAUGAUGCAUAUACUUAAGAAUAUAACUGACUGUAACUAUUAUUAUAGGUUUCAGGUAGUUUCAUUUUUCUGGAAAAAUGGAAAGUUAAAUUAUUUAAGAAUAUAAAUUUGAGGCUUUCAGAGGCCCAUAUCUCGUUACAGAUCUGUGAAGUUUCCUAGACUGAAUAAGAAUGUAGCUUUGGUGCAGUGGAGGAAGCUUUUUGUGAUGACUCCUGAACUGAAAAAACUCGGAAUUGAUUCAUUUUCAUCUAUUUUUGGCAGAUGAGGGCUGGAAAAAAAAAUGUUCCACAAUGCUAGAAUUUGCAUGCACUUUCAGGUUUUUCUCGUACUGUUCAAAUAUGAUACUUCUUGAAUUUUGAUGCUAUGCAUCUCUGGGAGUUGCAGAAGUGACCAGGCUUCUUCCAAACUGCCCACUUCUUUGCUGGCUUUGCGCACCCGCACUGAAAAGUUUAUGACAAUUGUUAUGUUUCCAGUUGUUGCUGUUUAAUUUUAGGUUGUUGGUGGAGCUUUGUUUGCCUGUGUUGCUUCUCUCUUGAUUCUUCUUUUCAGUUAAUUACAACCAGUUUUGGUCCCUAUCCUACUCCCACCAAUCAUUACAUUAGUAGAUAAUUUGAUUGAUUAUUAGUUUUGAGGUCUAUAACUGAUAUGAUACCUUCAUUGGAGUUGAAGCACCUAAGAAGGGAUAGUUUCAAAUAAGCAGUGCACCCAUAAGUUUGUGCACUUGGUGGUCUAUACACUAAGAUUAUAAAAAGUAUUGAUUUUUGAUUUAGAAAAUGCAGUAAUUACUUAUGUACACUGGCUCUUUCUCAAUUUGCUACACAGGUUUUCAGUUAUAAAUCAUAAUUUUCCAAAUAAACCAUAUCCAUGGACCACCCUUUUUCUUAGCUAGGCUGGCUAAUGUGAGCAUGGCUGCCCUGCAAGGAUAUCUUUUUCAUCAUCUUCAGAAUCCUGGGUGACUCUGUGAUGGUCGUCUUUGGUUGUCAGAAAUGAGUCGUAAUACAAGCGUGAUGUUUGAAGGCAAGUUACUUGUAGAGUUAUUAACAUAAGUGGCCAUUAAAUAGGUCAAGUAACCUUUUCUUGUUGUGCAAUAUUAAACUCGUACAUGCUCUUUCAUGUUUACCUUCACCAGUUCCAUCUUAGUUGUAAUUAAACAAAUAAUGGAAUGGAAUUGAUUCAUUUGGUAUGACUUCUUGCACACCCACACCCCUUGCUGAUCACUUUGCUGACAAACUUCUGCUUACAGCCCCUACUAAAUCGCACACCAGAAGGAAAAAAAAGAAAAGAAAAGUGGAAGAAAAAGAAAAAGAUCACUCAUACCAUAUUUUGUGCAAAGCAAAUUUUUUUAAAUUAUUUAAUUCUUAAGGCAUCCUUUAAUUUGGAAUAAAUUUGAAUUUGGUCUAGGAUAAACUUGCAAUAUGAUGCACUGAGAACUAAACUCUUAUCUGUAUAAGUACCUUUAUCAUUUCUCACAGGGAAUUCAUUUUGAACUUCCAAUGUUCACGAAUUUAGCAGAAUAGUAGUUUUUUUUACUUUUUUUUGGGUCUACAGGACACAAAUUUGCUCGUUCUUCAGAAAUUAAUGUGUUCUCAUGAAUUUAGCAGCUGCCCGAACGGCUGCAAAAUUACCAGUAGUUCAACUGGAAGUAGGCCUUGAUAUACAUAUAAAAAGCCAACUUAAUAUAAAAGCUCAAGCUGUAAAAUGUUAGGCUGAGUCAUUACAUCAAUCCCUCUACCUCUCACUAACUGUUUGAUGUGGGACUAAACCUCACAUGCAAUCCUCAACACCAGAGACUCUCAGCAUGUUAACAAGAUGUCAGACAUACNN